rnacentral:rRNA from 1 species
GUAGGUGGCAAGCGUUGUCCGGAAUUAUUGGGCGUAAAGCGCGCGCAGGCGGUUCUUUAAGUCUGAUGUGAAAGCCCACGGCUCAACCGUGGAGGGUCAUUGGAAACUGGAGAACUUGAGUACAGAAGAGGAAAGCGGAAUUCCACGUGUAGCGGUGAAAUGCGUAGAGAUGUGGAGGAACACCAGUGGCGAAGGCGGCUUUCUGGUCUGUAACUGACGCUGAGGCGCGAAAGCGUGGGGAGCAAACAGGAUUAGAUACCUUGGUAGUCCACGCCGUAAACGAUGAGUGCUAAGUGUUAGGGGGUUUCCGCCCCCCUUAGUGCUGCAGCUAACGCAUUAAGCACUCCGCCUGGGAGUACGGCCGCAAGGCUG